rnacentral:rRNA from 1 species
CCCGCACAAGCGGUGGAGUAUGUGGUUUAAUUCGAUGCAACGCGAAGAACCUUACCUGGUCUUGACAUCCCGGAGACCCUUAGGAAACUAGGGGGUGCUUCCAUCUGGAAGAAUCUGGAGACAGGUGCUGCAUGGCUGUCGUCAGCUCGUGUCGUGAGAUGUUGGGUUAAGUCCCGCAACGAGCGCAACCCUUGCCUUUAGUUGCCAGCAGUCCGGCUGGGCACUCUAAAGGGACUGCCGGUGUUAAACCGGAGGAAGGUGGGGAUGACGUCAAGUCCUCAUGGCCUUCAUGACCAGGGCUACACACGUACUACAAUGGCCGAUACAAAGGGCAGCGACACUGCGAGGUGAAGCCAAUCCCGUAAAAUCGGUCUCAGUCCGGAUUGGAGUCUGCAACUCGACUCCAUGAAGUUGGAAUCGCUAGUAAUCGUGGAUCAGCAUGCCACGGUGAAUACGUUCCCGGGCCUU